AGCCUAACAAGUUAAAUGUUUUUUUAUGUUUUUCAUCACCAAGUGUUAGCUUGAUAGGGCAAGACUUAUUAGCAUCAAACUUGCAAGAAAAUUGAUUAUUAGAAUCAGGAUGUAACAGUUGCAGAAAAUUGGAGAUAGGUUCAUUAUCUUUACCUUUUCUGGAUUCGUUAUUGAGAGAUGGAUCUUGUUCAGCUAACAAAUUUGAUCUUACAACACUUCUUGAGAAGAGACAGUUUUGGCCGCAUUUCCAAGAAGCACAAUUCAGGGAUUUUAAAACAUUGUUGGAAUUUGUCAACGCCAACACAUUGAAUGUGAAAAUGAUUAGUGCGGGAAUUGUUAACUCCAGGAACUAUAUAGCAGCACUGUUGCAGAUCAUACAAUAAAUGGCCAUUAAACAAAAAUAAUAUGUUAAAAUUAAUACAUCGCUGGACAAGUGAACAAGGUGUUAUAUUAAAUUUACAUUACACCUUUUGGUAAUUGUUACCAAUUAAGAUUUAAUCGUAUAGAAACAAACAAGAUUUUUUUUUUCAGGUUUACAAAAAUAAGUAUAAAUAAAUUUUUAAUUGGGUAAUCACACAAUUCGAUACCAUAUCAACGAAUAUUUUCCAUUUUCGUAAGAGGGCAAAAUGACUUACACAUAAGAUUAUUUCACUAAUGUCUAUACAGAGGUCAACACAAAGGUUUCUGGAAAAUAUUGCAACAUUUAAUAUUGAAAUACGUUAAUAAGCAGCAAAAUUUCCGGUCAUUUUUAAAAUACUGUUAAAGCAACACUAAAAGAUAUCGCUAUAAAUUACAGAACUACCUAUAUAUAAUCAUGAUGUGUAAUUUGGCGGCCAUUUUGUUGUGUUAAAAAAGAAAUUUUUAAACCAGUAAAUACAUUUUUGCCUCGUUUUAAUAAUUAAUAAUUAAAUAAAACAUAUCAG